UCCAAUUCAAAACCAUAGCAUUCAUCAUGGUAAUCUCAUGUAUUCAAUGUUCAUUAAAACCAAAUGUUCAUUCUUUAAGUUCUCCACCUAUUAAUUAUAAUUCCAAAUCAUUGAUAACCUUUCAUGAUAAAUGACAUUCAAUACAAAUCCAUGCAUAGUUAAUGAUUCAAUAAUCCUUUCUGUUUUACACAUUACAUAAGAAUAAUUUCAAAGGUCACAGUAUAAACUAACAUCCAAGUAUCCAAACAUCUAAUCUAAAGCACUAACAUCAUCUUCACGCUUCACUCUUCUAGUCCAAGCUUUUCCUCUUCUCCAUAUUCGCCUGCAAUCAUUUCAAUAGCAGGAACAUUCUUUCAAGGCAGCAGGAUGGCAGUUUAAAUUGCACUUCAACCAAACUUCUUGCAAAUGUAACCGUCGAUCUCCAACAACAUAACAUUCACAACCAACUGCAACAAGCUCAUGACAGUAGGAACACAUAGGUUCUACAGCAUUAACAACCCUUCAUUCGCCAAUUCUAAGCGCAUAAUAGAUGUAACUUUGCCCUACAUACAACGCAUACACAUUAUCUGCCAUGAUCCUGCAGCAACAAAUACAACAACAAUAGCAUGACACAAGAGCUUUCUCAUUUGCAUCUAACAAACACUGAACUUUUAAAAUCAAGCAAAUCAGUUAACAUUUUAACAACAAGUAACUUAUUUCAUUGAGUUUCAUUAAUUGACAUUUCAGCCAACUCAAACUAAUCAACCAAAUUGUGCAUUUAAUCACAAGUGAAUUUCAUUUGGAAUUUAAAAUAAAUUUCAUAACAGAACCUCAUCUGUUUUAUGGAUUUGGAGUGAAUUUAAAUUUGAAUUUCAUUGAAAUUUAGAUGGAAUUUCUAACUGUUUUUGGAGAGGAAAGGUUAUAAAAGCUUACCCAAAACUCAUUCUUUAGGGGGAAUCUUCAAUGAAUCCAAAACUCAUUCUUCAGAUUGAAUCUUCAAUAACUCCAAAACUCAUUCUUCAGGUUGAAUCUUUAAUAACUCCAAAAUACAUUCUUCGAUCUCCAAAACUCCAAAAUUUA
rnacentral:lncRNA from 1 species